CAGCCGCCGCGGUAAUACGAAGGGUGCAAGCGUUACUCGGAAUUACUGGGCGUAAAGCGUGCGUAGGUGGUGGUUUAAGUCCGUUGUGAAAGCCCUGGGCUCAACCUGGGAAUUGCAGUGGAUACUGGAUCACUAGAGUGUGGUAGAGGAUAGUGGAAUUUCCGGUGUAGCAGUGAAAUGCGUAGAGAUCGGAAGGAACAUCUGUGGCGAAGGCGACUAUCUGGGCCAACACUGACACUGAGGUGCGAAAGCGUGGGGAGCAAACAGGAUUAGAUACCCCGGUAGUCCCUGUCUCUUAUAC
rnacentral:rRNA from 1 species